AUGUUAGACCAAAUGUCAACACACACUGAGAAUAUGAAUUGUAAGAAAGGAUACAAGAAAACAGUAGUAAUAAUUAUAGAACUCAAUGUAAAGAUGCAGAAAUGUCAGCAUCGAAAUUCAUUAUGCAAUUACAGUAUGUUAUCAGUCUAUUUUAACUGUGAAUAUCCCACAAAAAUUUUAUGUAAAAAUUGAUUUAUUUCAACAUACUAAAUUGUUUCCACAAUGGUCAGAUUCAUUCUGUAAUCCGUAUCAUGAAAGCCUAUAACUUUCAAUGUAAGUUUAAUUAUGUACAGCUCAAACAAUACAUAUGAAGUUAUUGUAACUGUAGCACGUUAUAUACACACCAGAGGCAGUAAACAUAUGAAGUCAGACCUGGAAGAGACUUCGUCACGAGAAAUAUGUGCAUGUCUUUGUAGAAAUAAAUAGGUAAAAGACUAAUUCCACUGUGUCACUUAUUUGACAAUCUGUGUAUCACAAAUACUGUCUUGAUAAUGUUGUAUAUUGAUAGCAGGCAUUUCUCACAAAGAAAAGAUUAUUCAUUUACUGAACAUCUACAACACCCAUUUGAUAAAGUGCACACAAAAAAGUUAAGUAGCCAAGACUAUUCCCAAAAGCACCAACACAUUAUACACAAAUGCAUAAAAUGAUUCCAUAAAGUCUUCUAAAUUUCUAGAAUACACAGUUUUCCCAAACAAAAAUUUUGUCGGUACUUAUGGCCCAUUCUGAAUAACAAAAUCUAGUUUCCAAAAUAACAGUUUGUUCAUAUGCCAGUCUUUAGAUAGUCGGAGGGCACCCAGUUUGCAGUCUGCCCAGUCCUGGUCAAAACUAAAACUAAUUAUUAUUUUACAGUGCUUCAUUAAUUUGUGCUUCAAUAACUCUACAAUUUACCUGAGUAUAUCUGUCAUAGACCUGGUGGUUGUUUGUUAGUACUGAGCCAAUUUUAUGUGCUAAUAAUCUUACAAAGUUGAAAAAGUGGUCAUCAUAAAAACAGAAGAACCCAGAGGAUUACAUAUAUGCAAAAAAGUGAAACCAAAAUUGUGGUGUUGUGUUCAUUACUUAGCAAACAUCAUCCAAAACUCAAUCAGAUUUUCAGCUUCAUGACAGAUGGCUAACAUGCUACUAGAGAGGUGAUGGAUGAGAGACUACAAAAAUCAGGCUGGUGAGCUUAAAACCUGGUAAUAGAUUUCAUAUGAUGUCUAAACUGCAAGGCAGGAAAAUUGAAAAACAGCACCUACCUGGUGCUGUUAAGUUUCACUGAACUUAGACAGUAUGAUACAGUACAAAUAAUUGAUGAAAUUUUUAAAUGGCAGUGAAGUUUAAAGUUAAUGUGAUAAGCAAUUCAUUAUUGUACUGGUAGAUUCCAUGAGUUGUGUGUGUAUAAAUAAAUAUUGAGGUUUGCUCAUGGUUAAGUGAUUGCAACUGAUGAAUUGCUUUCCACAAGAUGUCUUAAUGCUAACCAAGUUCAUUCAGUUUUUGAUACCAAAUAGUAAUUUGUAAUUGCAUUUGAUAUUUUAGACUAGUCAAGUAACACUGUGUGACAACUGUAGUCAUUAUGGUUUCUUCAUUUAUUGGGCAGCACAUAGAUCGGCACUUAAUGAGAAACAUUUCAAAUAUGUACUUUCAUAGCCACAAAAAGAUAAUUUGUGUUACAUGCUUACACAAUGAUCCUACCAUUAAGGUAAAUGAAAAAGCUGUCACCCUUACAUGAAUAAAGUUCUUAAAUGUUAUACAGUUCUUCUAAUAUUAUUUGUUGUUUUAGUCUGUUUGCUGUAUCCAUAAAUUGCACAGCAGCAUUAGCCAAUGAGGGGCACCAAGGCUAGGCUGACCAGACAUCCUGGUUUUGCCAGAACAGUCCUGGUUUUCACAUAAAUGUCCUGGGUUCCCAAGAAAAUCAUUCAGGACACUCAAUUGUUCCACUUUUUAAUCAAGAAACAAAUUGUGUUAUAUAAUAUUUUUCAUUUACUUAAAUAUUUGUGAACAACAAGUUUUCUGGAAGUAGAAUUUUAUUGGUUUAACCCAUCUUAUGCUUAAAGAUACAGAAAGAGAUGUGUUGGAGGUAAAAGCAGCAAUUACCUACCCUUGCCUCUAACUUGUCGACUGUCAACAAGUAAAAACAAAACCAAAGGAAUAAUAAAUGAGCAUCCAUUUACUUAAACCAUUUCUCCCUAUGAGACUGCAGCCAUAUAAAAGUUAAUUUUGUGAAGAAUGUGAGCAAUGUGGCAUGUGUUACUAGUGCUUAUUGAAUAUUGUUUGUCAUGUAUGCAUGCUUUCCCUAUCAGUCUGAAAUCUUAAAUGUAUAAUUUGUAUAUGAUUACUGAUUAGUAAUAUCACAUAGUUUUUAGGAUUAACAAAUUGUACAGAAGUACCUAGUAAGUGACUAAACACUGCAGAAAAUAUAUCAGUCUUUUUUUUUAUUUCUGAAGAGAAGAAUUUUAUUUAUGUGUAAUGUACCUACAUUUUCCUUUCCAAUUCACAAAGUGAAGAAACAUUCUUCAUAUUCGUUUUUCAGUUGCUGCAACAUCAUAGGUCUAUUGCAAAUUUCAAAAUAUCAUGAUAACUGACAAAAAAGCUAAGCAUAAGUGUAGUAAUUAAGUUAGAUAUGAAGUACAAACACAAAUGUCCCAGUUUUUUCUCUGUGAGAGCCUAAACAUAUUAUAUCAGUGAUGUAUUGUGACUGUUUGCGAUAUUUAUGAGACAAUAAAUAAAUAUUUGCUCAGUAAAUGUGUCAACUAAUUUAUUUUAAUGAAAUUACAUUUAAAAGAUUCUAAGAGUUUUACAUAAUAGGAAAAACUUUUGGAUAAAUAAAAUAAAACAACUGAAAGAUGCACUCUGGAGAAGGGUACUGAGAGUCACAUACUUCUCUCAAAUAUCUUGAUUACUUAAGAAACAGAGCCUUUUUGUCUGAUGCCUUGGAACAACAUUCAUUCAAACAGAUGAUCUGUUGCCGGAAAGCUACAAUCAGGUUUUCCAAUUCCAAAUGCACAAAGAGAUACUUGUACUCAAACUGUGCUUUAACAUUAUAUGAAAGAGAAGCAACAUUUACUGCACAAGAGAGUGUAUAAUACCAUUGACAGGCUCAUUACAGUCAUUUUAUUUUUGCCCUUAUAUCUUAUGUGAAGCAUGUGUGUACUUGACUGUAGCUGAGGGAUAGUUAUUUGAGCAUUACUACCCAUUCAGAGGGUGCAAUCUGUAUUCUUUUGCUUCCUCACUAUCUUUAGGUGGUGUGCUUCUACAGAGUAAUGUUCAAGGGAUGCUUGUUGGAUAAUGGUCAUUAGAGCACAAUUUCUUAGUGCAACAAAUGAGAGAGAUAAAAACCCUGAUAAAAUUCAUUAACUAUGUUUGGUUAUAAGGCAUUAUUAAUUGCUAAAAUCAACUAAAGAAAUGCAUAAAUUUCCCAGUGAUGGGAUAUAUGUAUUGGCAUAUGCUAAAAUUUCCCAGUGAUGGGAUAUACGUAUUGGCAUACAAGUAUAUGAAGUUUCCCAACAUCUCACUGUAUUUCUCUGCCAUUACUAAAUAAAUGUCUAUAAGUUGAUAAUUCAUGAAGCAAUAAUUUAAACUCAUAUAACAGAAAAAUAUAAUUUAUUAGUGAGUUUAUAAACUCAGGCUAAGGGGAAGGAGAUGAUACAAUCUCAGUUAAGUUGAGACAAUGCUGACAACUGUAAUGAUAAGUGUGAUAUGUUCUAUUAGUUCAUUUUCUGUGCCACAGUUUUUGAAUAAUAUUGACAAGUACCUAUACGUAAAAUACAAAUUAAAACAUAUUUAUUUUCAUGUAUUACAUUUCCAGUUUCUGUGACUGCUGUAAGGAAUUUCAGGUCACUAUUCACACUUUUCUAUGAAGAGCACAGAGUAGCUCAGUAUCAGUUUCUGGUCUUUAAUAUUUUGCACACUGUAUCAUGAAUGUGAUUCAGGAAAAUACUGUUCCUGAAGAUUCAUCACAAAUUUCUUUAGUAUCUGAAUGUAACUUAACAACUGUUACACAAAAAUCUAAUAUCUUGCAACCAAAACAAUUAACAAAUCUCCUCAAUUUUCUAAUACUUUAUUAAAAAAAAGAGUCAUGUUUCUUAUGUUAACAAAAAUUAUCUAUUUUAUAUUGCUAUUUUAACAACAAAAUAAUUUUGUCUUGGUUACAAAGAUGGGUAAUAUAAAAGGGCAAAUAUCUUAGCAUUGCUUAGAUUAACAAAGAAAAUUUACCAUAUAGUAAAUGGAAUACCUGAAUAACUUUGAAUUUAAUUUACAAAAGUAAAGGAAGCAAACAAAGAUGGCCUAUAAAAAUGUUGUACAGGCAAUGAAGCAGCAAGCUGGCCCAUUUCAGUGCAGACAUGUGCACGCAUGCACACACACACACACACACACACACACACACACACACACACACAGUGGUUUCUUUAUGGUACCAUAUUUCCAUUCACCUAAAAUUGUUUAAGGAAGCAAUACAGGAUCCAGAUGAUAUGUGUUGUUCCACAGUAGGAGAUUGGAGUGUGUGCAAGCUGAGACACUGAAAUGGCAGAUCAACCACCAAAUCAGUACAAAGUGGUGAAGUUUUCAGUGGAAUUGAACACAAGUCACAGAUUUGCACAAAAUUGAAUGCAAGAUGGAGUACACUAUAAGUAAAUGAGUAACUAAUGGAUACCAAGGAAGUUGGCUCUUGAGUACAGGCAUGCACAGGAUGGAAAGUCUCACUGCUCAGACCACUAUGCACAAGAUUAUUAUGUACGGGGUGAAGGAGAUAGCUUUCUCAAACAAACUACAGUAAAAAUAUUAUGAACAGGAAUGUUGCUACUCACCAUAUAGCGGAGAUGCUGAGUUGCAGACAGGCACAACCAAAAGACUGUCACAGAUAAAGCUUUCGGCCAGUAAGGCCUUCAUCAAAAAUAGACAACAGACAGACACACACACUCAGGUAAACACAAUUCACACAUACAACUGCAGUCUCAGGCAACUGUCUGAGACUGCAGUCAUAUAUGUGAGUUGCAUUUGCCUGAGUGUGUGUGUGUGUUGUCUAUUUUUGACAAAGGCUUUACUGGCCUAAAGCUUUAUUUGCGACAGUCUUUUUGUUGAACCUAUCUGUGGCUCAGCAUCUUCGCUAAAUGGUGAAAAGCCACUUUCCUUUUCAUAAUAUUGUUACAUGCCAUCCUGGAUUUUACACUGUUUGAUUUUAAACUACAGUAAAAUACUCUUACAUGAAGCUUUUGGUCACAGCCUUCAUAAGUAAAAGGGAGACACACACCAUUCAUCCACACAAGCAAAUACUUGCAUGUGUAUGAAUGAUGUGUGUCUCCUUUUUACUGAUGGAGGCUGUGACUGAAAACUUUACAUAAGUGUCUUUUAAUUGUGUUGGUCUGCAAUGUGACACAUCUUCUUUACGGCAAGUAGCAAUCUGUCUUUUCUUACAUUGUUGAUAAUCCUACAUGGAGUUUCCAUUGUUUGAAAGUACAGUAAAAGAUGGAUCAAGAUGCACCAUUAUGAACCAACGAGUAAGAGGCAUUUCAUAGAGUGAAAGAAUACAUUGUUUAUUACUAAGAAAACAUUCAUAACAUAAGAAUUCAUAGGAAAGUCAUGCAGAUGAUCUUUUGGGUAGUUGGGGAUCUAAUAUACUGGUGCAGUUCUUGGAGAAGGACAAAACUGUGAUUAAUAUUCCUGCAGUAACAUAUUUUUUAGGCAGUUGAGACCUGGCAUAAGAUAUAAAUGCUAGGCACCACUCACAAACAGCACAGUUACUCUUUAACAGCUCUUUCAUGCAGCUGCAAGUAAAUAUCUGAAAUUGUGAAAUUGAAGGUCUGGAACAAAUGAACAUUUGGGGCUAAGAAGUUUGCAGAUGACAUCUUGUUAUCCACUGGGUCUUGGCUUCUGACGAAAGUAAUAUUUUAUGCACUUCACAUGAAGUGAAUGUUGGCUCCAAGCACUAGUGUUUUUAGAGUUCUACAAUGGAAUUGGUUCACACAUAUAUACUUUUACUUUCUGUCCUAGAUAUUUUCAUUCCCUCUCUUUUCCACUGCUGUUAUGAUUUGUCAUUAUCUUUGUGUUUCCUUGUCCCACAAUUUUUUUUACUUAAUUUGCCAAACCCUCACAAAAUUCAUUAGAUGAAAUGUGCAUAUAUUGUCCCUACUAAAAAGUAGAAGAGAUUACAGUUGCGAUAAAACUCAUGUGAUAGAGCACAAU